UUUGACCUCGGAUCAGGUAGGAAUACCCGCUGAACUUAAGCAUAUCAAUAAGCGGAGGAAAAGAAACCAACAGGGAUUGCCCUAGUAACGGCGAGUGAAGCGGCAACAGCUCAAAUUUGAAAUCUGGCCUCGGCCCGAGUUGUAAUUUGCAGAGGAUGCUUCUGGCGCGGUGCCUUCCGAGUUCCCUGGAACGGGACGCCACAGAGGGUGAGAGCCCCGUAUGGUCGGACACCAAGCCUGUGUGAAGCUCCUUCGACGAGUCGAGUAGUUUGGGAAUGCUGCUCUAAAUGGGAGGUAAAUCUCUUCUAAAGCUAAAUACCGGCCAGAGACCGAUAGCGCACAAGUAGAGUGAUCGAAAGAUGAAAAGCACCUUGAAAAGGGGGUUAAAUAGUACGUGAAAUUGUUGAAAGGGAAGCACUUAUGACCAGACUUGGGCCGGGCGGCUCAUCAGGGGUUCUCCCCUGUGCACUCCGCCCGGCACAGGCCAGCAUCGGUUUUCGCGGGGGGAUAAGACCGACGGGAACGUAGCACCCUCCGGGGUGUGUUAUAGCCCGGCGGACGAUACCCUCGCGGGGACCGAGGACCGCGCUUCGGCAAGGAUGC
rnacentral:rRNA from 1 species